rnacentral:tRNA from 1 species
GGUGGCUCAGUGGUAGAGUGCUUGCCUGCCAUGCAUGAAGCCCUGGGUUUGAUUCCUCAGUACCA